UAGGGAAUCUUCGGCAAUGGACGGAAGUCUGACCGAGCAACGCCGCGUGAGUGAAGAAGGUUUUCGGAUCGUAAAGCUCUGUUGUAAGAGAAGAACGAGUGUGAGAGUGGAAAGUUCACACUGUGACGGUAUCUUACCAGAAAGGGACGGCUAACUACGUGCCAGCAGCCGCGGUAAUACGUAGGUCCCGAGCGUUGUCCGGAUUUAUUGGGCGUAAAGCGAGCGCAGGCGGUUAGAUAAGUCUGAAGUUAAAGGCUGUGGCUUAACCAUAGUAGGCUUUGGAAACUGUUUAACUUGAGUGCAAGAGGGGAGAGUGGAAUUCCAUGUGUAGCGGUGAAAUGCGUAGAUAUAUGGAGGAACACCGGUGGCGAAAGCGGCUCUCUGGCUUGUAACUGACGCUGAGGCUCGAAAGCGUGGGGAGCAAACAGGAUUAGAUACCCUGGUAGUCCACGCUGUAAACGAUGAGCGCUAGGUGUUAGACCCUUUCCGGGGUUUAGUGCCGUAGCUAACGCAUUAAGCACUCCGCCUGGGGAGUACGACCGCAAGGUUG
rnacentral:rRNA from 1 species